CUACGGGUGGCUCCAGUGGGGAAUCUUAGACAAUGGGCGCAAGCCUGAUCUAGCCAUGCCGCGUGAGUGACGAAGGCCUUAGGGUCGUAAAGCUCUUUCGCUAGGGAAGAUAAUGACUGUACCUAGUAAAGAAACCCCGGCUAACUCCGUGCCAGCAGCCGCGGUAAUACGGAGGGGGUUAGCGUUGUUCGGAAUUACUGGGCGUAAAGCGCGCGUAGGCGGAUCAGAAAGUUGGGGGUGAAAUCCCAGGGCUCAACCCUGGAACUGCCUCCAAAACUCCUGGUCUUGAGUUCGAGAGAGGUGAGUGGAAUUCCGAGUGUAGAGGUGAAAUUCGUUGAUAUUCGGAGGAACACCAGUGGCGAAGGCGGCUCACUGGCUCGAUACUGGCGCUGAGGUGCGAAAGCGUGGGGAGCAAACAGGAUUAGAUACCCUAGUAGUC
rnacentral:rRNA from 1 species